CACCUACUACCUUGCCCUUUAGGCAAGCCACUGUUUGCCUUAGUUAUCUCAAUUAUAAAAUGGGGAUAAUAAUAGCACCUACCUCCCAGGGUUGCUGUGAGAAUGAAAUAAGAUAAUAUUUGUAAAGCACUUAGCAUAGGGUGGUAGAGAUGGCAAGAAGAACUGAAGACAGAGAUGACAAAAGAUGCUUAGAGAGGAUCCAGGAACUGACUGGCAGCAAGGCUGUAAAAAGGAGAAGGAGAAGAACCAGCCAGAAAGGAGCUAGAGGUUUCGGACCUUGGCUGGGUGGUGGAGAGGACAGUGGAGCCAUCGACAGAAACUGGGAGAUCAGGAGAUAGAGCUGGCACAGAAAGGAGGAAGAGCUCCACAAAUCCAGCUCUGGGCUGGGCAGCCCUGUUUCUUCAUCCUCAUCCCCACUGAUUUGCCUUGAGUCAUUCUGGGAAUUGGAAAGAUAAGACUGGAUCAAAGAUUGCUCCAAGAAGCAUCCCCAGUGCUGCCUUCUCUAACGUCUGGAUGCCAUUGGAGGAAGCAAAGGUGAUGACAAAGAGCAACAAACAGUGGUAGUUUAUCGGUGAUGAUCACAGGUAGCUGGGGGUGUGGACAGGAUGGAGUCAAUGGGACUAGGAAAUUUGAAGGUCUUCUAUGUUUACUCUUCCUGGAGCAAUAAAUUACCACAGGGAGCUGAAGGGGUUCUGGAGAACAAAAACCAGAAUGGUGGAAUUGGAAGGGCCUUUAAGACACAGAAUGUCAGAGCUGGGACAGAUCUUAGAACAUAGAACAUCAGAGCCGAGAAGUUCCUUAGAAGAUAGAACAUCAGAGACGAGAAAACUGAGGCUCAAAUAGGGGAGGUAUUACCAAAUACCACAGGACUGGUAAGUGACAGAGCUUGGAUUCAAACUCAGGCCUCUUGAUCCCCCCCCCCCUCGGCAGACUCCUU
rnacentral:lncRNA from 1 species